UGGCGAACGGGUGAGUAACACGUGGGUGAUCUGCCUCGUACUCUGGGAUAAGCCUGGGAAACUGGGUCUAAUACCGGAUAGGACCACUGGUCGCAUGGUUGGUGGUGGAAAGUUUUUCGGUACGAGAUGGGCCCGCGGCCUAUCAGCUUGUUGGUGGGGUAAUGGCCUACCAAGGCGACGACGGGUAGCCGGCCUGAGAGGGCGACCGGCCACACUGGGACUGAGACACGGCCCAGACUCCUACGGGAGGCAGCAGUGGGGAAUAUUGCACAAUGGGCGCAAGCCUGAUGCAGCGACGCCGCGUGAGGGAUGACGGCCUUCGGGUUGUAAACCUCUUUCACCAGGGGCGAAUUAGGACGGUACCUGGAGAAGAAGCACCGGCCAACAACGUGCCAGCAGCCGCGGUAAUACGUAGGGUGCGAGCGUUGUCCGGAAUUACUGGGCGUAAAGAGCUCGUAGGCGGUUUGUCGCGUCGUUCGUGAAAACUUGAUGCUUAACAUCAAGCGUGCGGGCGAUACGGGCAGACUUGAGUACUACAGGGGAGACUGGAAUUCCUGGUGUAGCGGUGAAAUGCGCAGAUAUCAGGAGGAACACCGGUGGCGAAGGCGGGUCUCUGGGUAGUAACUGACGCUGAGGAGCGAAAGCGUGGGUAGCGAACAGGAUUAGAUACCCUGGUAGUCCACGCCGUAAACGGUGGGUACU
rnacentral:rRNA from 1 species